AUUACCUUGGCAGAUUUAUGCGCCGGAUUUAGGAUCCGUUUAAAUAGUAUUAUACUAUAGGUGAUA
rnacentral:tRNA from 1 species